rnacentral:sRNA from 1 species
UUAUAAGAUAGGAUUUUUAUGUCUGUGUAACUUUGCGCGGUCGUAAACUGAUUAUAUCAUCGUGUCUGUUUAUAUGCAAUAUAAAGAACCUGAUAAAACUAUCCAGGUUCUUUUUUAA